AGCAGAGAGAGGAAGCAGCAGAGGCAGCGCCAGGCAAAGCCCAGGGAAGUGGCUGCAGAGGCCCCAGGGCCAAGGCAGGGCAGCCCUGGGUGGUGGGUUAACAAGACUUUGUCCUGGGCACUUGAGUGGGGCCUGGGGUGGCCAGGCAAUGUUACAAGCGGUGACACAGCUGAUUCAGAGGAAGCACAGUGGAGGCAGGAAAGGGAAGACGGUGGAGGCAGGGCUGUCAGUCAGAGAGGAAAAGAGGACCAAGGUCUGAGCUGUGGGGGAAGGCACACCAGGAGCAGGGGAGAUUAUCUCAGAGUCAGAUGGAGGGGGAAACCCGGAGAGGAUGUCGGAGGGGACUUGGGUCCUUACUGCAGGAUCAGGGUGAUGGUGAGCUCCAAGCAUCAGCUGGUACGAACAUGGGCUGAAGAAUACUGGCCAGACUUCUGCCCUCAGUCCAGAGGCCUCUCCAGCUCAGCUCAGGGGGGGGACUCUGGUCAGGCGCAGCCUCAGCUCAGAUGCAGUAGGGGGGCAGGAGAUGGAGGGGAGAAGUCACUCCUUCCCAAAGGCGAGCUUUUCGUGGCUCUCAUACAGUCGCUUCAUUAGAUCACAAAGCAUUAAGCAUCUAUGAGCACAGACAAAAGCUGUCUUGCUUACUACUAGGUUUGCUAUUUUAGGUUUGAGGAAUUUACCCUCUUAAUAGCAGAGGGAAGUUUCUUAAGGGAGCUUUGCUACUUUUCAAAAUGCAAGAAAAAAAUAGCUUUUGAUACAAUAUUCCCUCGGUAUUACCUUUUGUUCAAAGAGGGGAUGGAGGGGUCAAAAAGUAACAGUGAAAAGAAAAAGGGACAAAGCUUUACUUUCUUCUCUUGUAAAGACGAAUCUGUGCUUUGUGGAUGCUGCACCCCCCAUGCCAAGUGAGCAACACUGUGAUGCAUGUGACCCCAGUCACAUGAACACUUUCCACGAGGACAACAGGGCAUUUGAGAUGAUGGACAUGGCUGGAAGAGGUCACGUCAGUUCUCCCAUGAUGGGCAGGAACUUGGAGGCAGAACUAGGGAAAGGAAGUUCUAAGAGACGGCUGAGAUGAAGAUGAAGCUCUACAGGAGGUGGCCCAGAGGCUCAGAGCCACCAGGGCUUCAAGCAAGACAAGUGAAAUCCACCCCACCAGAGAGCAUUCAUGGUCCCUGGUAAACAGCAGGCACUCAAGCAUACAUGAGUAUGGGGGCCACACCACUGGAUUCUAAGGGCUACAAA
rnacentral:lncRNA from 1 species